rnacentral:rRNA from 1 species
GAUGAACGCUGGCGGCGUGCCUAAUACAUGCAAGUCGAGCGAACAGACGAGGAGCUUGCUCCUCUGACGUUAGCGGCGGACGGGUGAGUAACACGUGGAUAACCUACCUAUAAGACUGGGAUAACUUCGGGAAACCGGAGCUAAUACCGGAUAAUAUAUUGAACCGCAUGGUUCAAUAGUGAAAGACGGUUUUGCUGUCACUUAUAGAUGGAUCCGCGCCGCAUUAGCUAGUUGGUAAGGUAACGGCUUACCAAGGCAACGAUGCGUAGCCGACCUGAGAGGGUGAUCGGCCACACUGGAACUGGGGCACGGUCCAGACUCCUACGGGAGGCAGCAGUAGGGAAUCUUCCGCAAUGGGCGAAAGCCUGACGGAGCAACGCCGCGUGAGUGAUGAAGGUCUUCGGAUCGUAAAACUCUGUUAUUAGGGAAGAACAAAUGUGUAAGUAACUAUGCACGUCUUGACGGUACCUAAUCAGAAAGCCACGGCUAACUACGUG